UGGGGAAUUGUUCGCAAUGGGCGCAAGCCUGACGACGCAACGCCGCGUGGAGGAUGAAGACCUUCGGGUCGUAAACUCCUUUCGAUCGAGACGAAUGGCCUCCGGGUGAAUAAUCCGGAGGAGUGACGGUACCGAGAGAAGAAGCCCCGGCUAACUCCGUGCCAGCAGCCGCGGUAAUACGGGGGGGGCAAGCGUUGUUCGGAAUUACUGGGCGUAAAGGGCUCGUAGGUGGCCAACUAAGUCAGACGUGAAAUCCCUCGGCUUAACCGGGGAACUGCAUCUGAUACUGGAUGGCUUGAGUUUGGGAGAGGGACGCGGAAUUCCAGGUGUAGCGGUGAAAUGCGUAGAUAUCUGGAGGAACACCGGUGGCGAAGGCGGCGUCCUGGACCAAUACUGACACUGAUGAGCGAAAGCCAGGGGAGCAAACGGG
rnacentral:rRNA from 1 species